CAGAUUUGUCUAUCAGGGUCUCCGGCGGCGUUCUUUGCUGAUCUGGUAAUUAAUAUAUGCAAGAGCUGCAAGAGAACCUUCAUACACCUUAGCUUAUCGAGCUGUUUAAGCUUCUCGGGCUAUUUGGUAUGGACUUUCUCCCACUCCCUUCUGCUCAAUGUUAAUGUUAUUACCGAAUCAUAUGCUUCCAAGAUCAACAAAGAACUCCCCGGAUAUCGAGAUGGAAACAAAUUUG
rnacentral:pre_miRNA from 1 species